rnacentral:rRNA from 1 species
AGAGUUUGAUCAUGGCUCAGAUUGAACGCUGGCGGUAGGCUUAACACAUGCAAGUCGAGCGAGAAAGUAUCUUCGGAUAUGAGUAGAGCGGCGGACGGGUGAGUAAUGCGUAGGAAUCUACCUAGUAGAAGGGGAUAGCCCGGGGAAACUCGGAUUAAUACCGUAUACCUCCUAAGGGAGAAAGAGGGCCUCUCUUGAAGCUCUCGCUACUAGAUGAGCCUGCGUAAGAUUAGCUUGUUGGUAAGGUAAUGGCUUACCAAGGCUACGAUCUUUAGCUGGUCUGAGAGGACGAUCAGCCACAUUGGGACUGAGACACGGCCCAGACUCCUACGGGAGGCAGCAGUGGGGAAUAUUGGACAAUGGGCGCAAGCCUGAUCCAGCCAUACCGCGUGUGUGAAGAAGGCCUUCGGGUUGUAAAGCACUUUAAGCAGGGAGAAAAAGCAAUAAGUUAAUACCUUAUUGCCGUGAUGUUACCUGCAGAAUAAGCACCGGCUAAUUCCGUGCCAGCAGCCGCGGUAAUACGGAAGGUGCAAGCGUUAAUCGGAAUUACUGGGCGUAAAGCGCGCGUAGGUGGUUUGUUAAGUUGGAUGUGAAAGCCCUGGGCUCAACCUAGGAACUGCAUCCAAAACUAACUCACUAGAGUACGAUAGAGGGAGGUAGAA